UGGAUUGAUGCUCGCUGGUUUGGGCGGCUAGCUGUUAACUAGUUUUUGUGGGAUCGAGGCCCGCUGGUCCUG
rnacentral:tRNA from 1 species